UACGUAGGCAGCAAGCGUUGUUCGGAGUUACUGGGCGUAAAGGGUGUGUAGGCGGUUUUCUAAGUCUGGUGUGAAAUCUCCCGGCUCAACUGGGAGGGUGCGCCGAAAACUGGAAGGCUAGAGUACUGGAUGGGUAAGUGGAAUUCCUGGUGUAGCGGUGAAAUGCGUAGAUAUCAGGAGGAACACCUGUGGUGUAGACGGCUUACUGGACAGUAACUGACGCUAAGACACGAAAGCGUGGGUAG
rnacentral:rRNA from 1 species